CACGCAAGUGUGAUAUGGGUAUCCCAAGUGCUUAUACUAUGUAUAGGCUUUUGCCAAGAGUAAAUAUCUUGGCGAAUAAGUGAUGGGCAAGACUGGUGCCAGCAGCCGCGGUAAA
rnacentral:rRNA from 1 species